GCCGCCACCGCCUCAGGGAAGAGGAAGGAGGCCGCGGCUUCGCGUCCCGCCUCUCGCCUGGCUGGCCGUGGGGGGCCUGGACGCAGUGGCCUCCCGAAUCUCCCAGGACCCUAAUAUCGCCCGAGGAUGCUGGGAGGAACGCUGAGCCGACCUCUCCGUUAGGCUGAAGAUUGCACAAACCAUGCUAAUGGCCAGCAUGGAUGGAGGGAGCGUGUGAGAUGUGUGGGGCAGCGUGCUGCAUCUCAGCCAACUCCAGGAGCCAGUUGAUGUGAUGGACUACCUUAAUUGAUUUUUGAAUGUUGAGCCAGCCUUAUGCAUGUGGGAUAAACCCCUGUUGAUCAUGGCUGGCUGGAGUGCAGUGGUGCAAUCAUGGCUCACUGCAACCUCAAAUUCCUGGGCUCAAGGGAUCCUCCUGCCUCAGCCUCCCAAGUAGCUAGGACUACAGUUCCUGCUGGAAUCUUGCUGUUGCCCAUUCAAGUCUGGUGGUUCCUGUGUGUUGGGGUGGCCUUG
rnacentral:lncRNA from 1 species